CAGUCGCCACGGUAAUACGAAGGGUGCAAGCGUUACUCGGAAUUACUGGGCGUAAAGCGUGCGUAGUUGGUGGUUUAAGUCCGUUGUGAAAGCCCUGGGCUCAACCUGGGAAUUGCAGUGGAUACUGGAUCACUAGAGUGUGGUAGAGGAUAGUGGAAUUUCCGGUGUAGCAGUGAAAUGCGUAGAGAUCGGAAGGAACAUCUGUGGCGAAGGCGACUAUCUGGGCCAACACUGACACUGAGGCACGAAAGCGUGGGGAGCAAACAGGAUUAGAUACCCCCGUAGUCCCUGUCUCUUAUAC
rnacentral:rRNA from 1 species